rnacentral:rRNA from 1 species
UUAGUGGCGGACGGGUGAGUAACACGUGGGAACGUGCCUUUAGGUUCGGAAUAACUCAGGGAAACUUGUGCUAAUACCGAAUGUGCCCUUCGGGGGAAAGAUUUAUCGCCUUUAGAGCGGCCCGCGUCUGAUUAGCUAGUUGGUGAGGUAAUGGCUCACCAAGGCGACGAUCAGUAGCUGGUCUGAGAGGAUGAUCAGCCACAUUGGGACUGAGACACGGCCCAAACUCCUACGGGAGGCAGCAGUGGGGAAUCUUGCGCAAUGGGCGAAAGCCUGACGCAGCCAUGCCGCGUGAAUGAUGAAGGUCUUAGGAUUGUAAAAUUCUUUCACCGGGGACGAUAAUGACGGUACCCGGAGAAGAAGCCCCGGCUAACUUCGUGCCAGCAGCCGCGGUAAUACGAAGGGGGCUAGCGUUGCUCGGAAUUACUGGGCGUAAAGGGAGCGUAGGCGGACAUUUAAGUCAGGGGUGAAAUCCCGGGGCUCAACCUCGGAAUUGCCUUUGAUACUGGGUGUCUUGAGUAUGAGAGAGGUGUGUGGAACUCCGAGUGUAGAGGUGAAAUUCGUAGAUAUUCGGAAGAACACCAGUGGCGAAGGCGACACACUGGCUCAUUACUGACGCUGAGGCUCGAAAGCGUGGGGAGCAAACAGGAUUAGAUACCCUGGUAGUCCACGCCGUAAACGAUGAUUGCUAGUUGUCGGGAUGCAUGCAUUUCGGUGACGCAGCUAACGCAUUAAGCAAUCCGCCUGGGGGAGUACGGUCGCAAGAUUAAAACUCAAAGGAAUUGACGGGGGGCCCGCACAAGCGGUGGAGCAUGUGGAUUUAAUUCGUAGCCACCGCGCAGCAAUCCUUACCACC